rnacentral:misc_RNA from 1 species
AACGCACCUUGCACUCUUUGGUAUUCCGAAGAGUAUGCCUGUUUGAGUGUCGUGAAACCCUCAACCCCCCUGUUUUGUAACGAAGCAGGCGUCUGGGCUUGGAUUCUGGCUGUUUUGCGGGCCCUGUCAUAGGGUCAGCUCAGCUGAAAUGUACGAGCAGCUUGUAUUUCGAUAGCAUAGAAGGCUUCACUCGGCGUAAUAACAAUUAUUCUCGUCAGGUUGAAUGCAGUCUUAUCGUGAGACGGCGCUUAUAAAUAGCUUCACUUUGUGAAACACUUGAAUUUUAGACCUCAAAUCAGGCAGGAUUACCCGCUGAACUUAA